rnacentral:rRNA from 1 species
CCUACGGGUGGCAGCAGUGGGGAAUCUUGCGCAAUGGGGGAAACCCUGACGCAGCAACGCCGCGUGGGUGAUGAAGGCCUUCGGGUCGUAAAGCCCUGUCAGGUGGGAAGAAACAUGUCGAUCUGAAUACGGUCGAUAUUUGACGGUACUACCAGAGGAAGCACCGGCUAACUCCGUGCCAGCAGCCGCGGUAAUACGGAGGGUGCAAGCGUUGUUCGGAAUUAUUGGGCGUAAAGCGCGUGUAGGCGGUCGGGUAAGUCAGAGGUGAAAGCCUUCCGCUUAACGGAAGAAGUGCAUUUGAAACUGCUGGGCUGGAGUACGGGAGGGGAGAGUGGAAUUCCCGGUGUAGAGGUGAAAUUCGUAGAUAUCGGGAAGAACACCAGUGGCGAAGGCGGCUCUCGGGUCCGAUACUGACGCUGAGACGCGAAAGCGUGGGGAGCAAACAGGAUUAGAUACCCUGGUAGU